rnacentral:rRNA from 1 species
UCGGGAUAAGCCUGGGAACUGGGUCUAAUACCGGAUACGACCUCCUGACGCAUGUUGGGUGGUGGAAAGUUUUUCGAUCGGGGAUGGGCUCGCGGCCUAUCAGCUUGUUGGUGGGGUAAUGGCCUACCAAGGCGACGACGGGUAGCCGGCCUGAGAGGGCGACCGGCCACACUGGGACUGAGACACGGCCCAGACUCCUACGGGAGGCAGCAGUGGGGAAUAUUGCACAAUGGGGGAAACCCUGAUGCAGCGACGCAGCGUGCGGGAUGACGGCCUUCGGGUUGUAAACCGCUUUCAGCAGGGAAGAAGCGAAAGUGACGGUACCUGCAGAAGAAGUACCGGCUAACUACGUGCCAGCAGCCGCGGUAAUACGUAGGGUACGAGCGUUGUCCGGAAUUAUUGGGCGUAAAGAGCUCGUAGGUGGUUGGUCACGUCUGCUGUGGAAACGCAACGCUUAACGUUGCGCGUGCAGUGGGUACGGGCUGACUAGAGUGCAGUAGGGGAGUCUGGAAUUCCUGGUGUAGCGGUGAAAUGCGCAGAUAUCAGGAGGAACACCGGUGGCGAAGGCGGGACUCUGGGCUGUAACUGACACUGAGGAGCGAAAGCAUGGGGAGCGAACAGGAUUAGAUACCCUGGUAGUCCAUGCCGUAAACGUUGGGCACUAGGUGUGGGGGACAUUCCACGUUCUCCGCGCCGUAGCUAACGCAUUAAGUGCCCCGCCUGGGGAGUACGGUCGCAAGGCUAAAACUCAAAGGAAUUGACGGGGGCCCGCACAAGCGGCGGAGCAUGCGGAUUAAUUCGAUGCAACGCGAAGAACCUUACCAAGGCUUGACAUACACUGGACCGUUCUGGAAACAGUUCUUCUCUUUGGAGCUGGUGUACAGGUGGUGCAUGGUUGUCGUCAGCUCGUGUCGUGAGAUGUUGGGUUAAGUCCCGCAACGAGCGCAACCCUCGUUCUAUGUUGCCAGCACGUGAUGGUGGGAACUCAUAGGAGACUGCCGGGGUCAACUCGGAGGAAGGUGGGGAUGACGUCAAAUCAUCAUGCCCUUUAUGUCUUGGGCUUCACGCAUGCUACAAUGGCUGGUACAGAGAGAGGCGAACCCGUGAGGGUAAGCGAAUCCCUUAAAGCCAGUCUCAGUUCGGAUCGUAGUCUGCAAUUCGACUACGUGAAGUCGGAGUCGCUAGUAAUCGCAGAUCAGCA